rnacentral:rRNA from 1 species
CCGACGAUCAGUAGCCGGCCUGAGAGGGUGGACGGCCACAUUGGGACUGAGACACGGUCCAAACUCCUACGGGAGGCAGCAGUGGGGAAUAUCGCACAAUGGGCGAAAGCCUGAUGCAGCAACGCCGCGUGAGCGAUGAAGUAUUUCGGUAUGUAAAGCUCUAUCAGCAGGGAAGAAACUGACGGUACCUGACUAAGAAGCACCGGCUAAAUAC